rnacentral:rRNA from 1 species
UACGUAGGUGACAAGCGUUGUCCGGAUUUACUGGGCGUAAAGAGCGCGCAGGCGGUCGUUCAAGUCGAGUGUGAAAGCCCCCGGCUCAACUGGGGAGGGUCACUCGAUACUGAUCGACUCGAAGGCAGGAGAGGGUAGUGGAAUUCCCGGUGUAGUGGUGAAAUGCGUAGAUAUCGGGAGGAACAUCAGUGGCGAAGGCGGUCACCUGGACGAUAACUGACGCUGAGGCUCGAAAGCGUGGGGAGCAAACAGG